AGUGAACGCUGGCGGUAGGCCUAACACAUGCAAGUCGAACGGCAGCACAGUAAGAGCUUGCUCUUACGGGUGGCGAGUGGCGGACGGGUGAGGAAUACAUCGGAAUCUACUUUUUCGUGGGGGAUAACGUAGGGAAACUUACGCUAAUACCGCAUACGACCUACGGGUGAAAGCAGUGGAUCUUCUGACCUUGCGCGAUUGAAUGAGCCGAUGUCGGAUUAGCUAGUUGGCGGGGUAAAUGCCCACCAAGGCGACGAUCCGUAGCUGGUCUGAGAGGAUGAUCAGCCACACUGGAGCUGAGACACGGUCCAGACUCCUACGGGAGGCAGCAGUGGGGAAUAUUGGACAAAGGGCGCAAGCCUGAUCCAGCCAUACCGCGUGGGUGAAGAAGGCCUUCGGGUUGUAAAGCCCUUUUGUUGGGAAAGAAAAGCAGCAGGUUAAUACCCCGCUGUUCUGACGGUACCCAAAGAAUAAGCACCGGCUAACUUCGUG
rnacentral:rRNA from 1 species